GUAGGGGGCAAGCGUUGUCCGGAUUUAUUGGGCGUAAAGAGCGUGUAGGCGGCCAAAUAGGUCGGUUGUGAAAACUGGAGGCUUAACCUCCAGACGUCGACCGAAACCAUCUGGCUAGAGUCCGGAAGAGGAGAGUGGAAUUCCUGGUGUAGCGGUGAAAUGCGCAGAUAUCAGGAAGAACACCCGUGGCGAAGGCGGCUCUCUGGGACGGUACUGACGCUGAGACGCGAAAGCGUGGGGAGCGAACAGGAUUAGAUACCCUGGUAGUCCACGCCGUAAACGAUGGGUGCUAGGUGUGGGCGGUGUCGACUCCGUCCGUGCCGAAGCUAACGCAUUAAGCACCCCGCCUGGGGAGUACGGCCGCAAGGCUA
rnacentral:rRNA from 1 species